rnacentral:lncRNA from 1 species
ACUCGUGCCUUUGGCGACACAAUGACUCUGCAAAUUGUCCUGUGCCCAGAGGAAACAUUUUUCUGAAAACUUCUGCGCUGGGGCAGAUUUAGGGCAAAGUUAACACUUCAAAAAUAUCUCCAGUAAUUGAGUAAAUUGCUCAUCUGUCAAAUUGGCUCUUUGGCAAAUUACUCUGCUUGCACAUAUUAAUAGCCAAGCUUAGCCAACUUGAAAUAUGGAGAUUUACUGGAAAUCACAGUGAAGUGAAGAGAGAGGCAAGAGCAGAAUUGAAAUUCCCACCUGGCAGCAAAAGAGAGUUAUGCAGAGCCUAUCAGGACCCGUGUUCACACCAGCACUUAGUUUGGAGGAAGCACCUGGAGGAGAUGCAGAGUCCAGAUGUGCGCCCUCUGCCGGAAGCCUACUGCACCAGGACGUAGGCCUGGAGUGGCCCUUAACGCAUUUGGAAAUCAGUCUUCACUAAAAAAACUUCCUCCAAAAUGUUCUUUAACAGCCCUUUAAAAGCCAUUGUUUCAAAACAGUCCAAGGUGGUGAACAAUUAAUAUUUUCGAUUUACAUGAAGACUCUGGAGUAGGAAUUACCUGAGUUGGAAACUCAGUUCUACUCUAUUGGUAUCAGGUUGCAUUCUGUAUCAUCAUUAAAAUUUUCAGAAAAACUCUC